rnacentral:lncRNA from 1 species
UUCAUGAAAAUACAUCUUCUUGUUUCUCUGAAUGCAUAUAUAUGUAUGCAUAUGUAUAUAUGUGUACAAAGACGCAAUAGAGUGAGACUCCAUCUCAAAAACAAACAAACAAACAAAGCCCCCAAAACUCAAAAAGUUGGGCUAAAUAAUUUCAGGAAUAAAAUGAAAAAUACAAUCACAGCUUCAACAAUAGACUAGGUUGAGCAGAAGAGAGAAUUUCUGAACUUGAAGCCAAGUCUUUAGAAAUAAUACAGU